rnacentral:piRNA from 1 species
AAGAGCUGCAGGGGAACUGGGAGAGGGU